GGGGAAGCUUGCUUCCUCGGGCGUCGACCGGCGCACGGGUGAGUAACGCGUAUCCAACCUGCCUCUGACUGAGGGAUAACCCGUCGAAAGUCGGCCUAAUACCUCAUGGCAUCGUCUGCGGGCAUCCAACGACGAUUAAAGAUUUCAUCGGUCAGGGAUGGGGAUGCGUCUGAUUAGCUUGUUGGCGGGGUAACGGCCCACCAAGGCUACGAUCAGUAGGGGUUCUGAGAGGAAGGUCCCCCACAUUGGAACUGAGACACGGUCCAAACUCCUACGGGAGGCAGCAGUGAGGAAUAUUGGUCAAUGGGCGGGAGCCUGAACCAGCCAAGUAGCGUGCAGGAUGACGGCCCUAUGGGUUGUAAACUGCUUUUAUGCGGGGAUAAAGUGAGGGACGUGUCCUUCAUUGCAGGUACCGCAUGAAUAAGGACCGGCUAAUUCCGUGCCAGCAGCCGCGGUAAUACGGAAGGUCCGGGCGUUAUCCGGAUUUAUUGGGUUUAAAGGGAGCGUAGGCCGUGGAUUAAGCGUGUUGUGAAAUGCAGGUGCUCAACGUCUGCACUGCAGCGCGAACUGGUCCACUUGAGUGUGCGCAACGCANGCGGAAUUCGUCGUGUAGCGGUGAAAUGCUUAGAUAUGACGAAGAACUCCGAUUGCGAAGGCAGCUUGCGGGA
rnacentral:rRNA from 1 species